GGGGAAUUUUCCGCAAUGGGCGAAAGCCUGACGGAGCAACGCCGCGUGAGGGAUGAAGGCCUCUGGGCUGUAAACCUCUUUUAUCAAGGAAGAAGAUCUGACGGUACUUGAUGAAUAAGCCACGGCUAAUUCCGUGCCAGCAGCCGCGGUAAUACGGGAGUGGCAAGCGUUAUCCGGAAUUAUUGGGCGUAAAGCGUCCGCAGGCGGCCCAACAAGUCUGCUGUUAAAAAGUGGAGCUUAACUCCAUCAUGGCUGUGGAAACUGUUGGGCUCGAGUGUGGUAGGGGCAGAGGGAAUUCCCGGUGUAGCGGUGAAAUGCGUAGAUAUCGGGAAGAACACCAGUGGCGAACGCGCUCUGCUGGGCCAUCACUGACGCUCAUGGACGAAAGCCAGGGGAGCGAAAGGGAUUAGAUACCCCUGUAGUCCUGGCCGUAAACGAUGAACACUAGGUGUCGGGGGAAUCGACUCCUCCGGUGUCGUAGCCAACGCGCUAAGUGUUCCGCACUGAGGAGUACUC
rnacentral:rRNA from 1 species